ensembl:miRNA mdo-mir-12393 mdo-mir-12393
CUUCUGGCUCUAAAUACUAUGAGAUCACAGAAUCAUAGGAUCAUAGAUCUAGAGCUGGAAGGGA